rnacentral:rRNA from 1 species
UUGAACGCUGGCGGCAGGCCUAACACAUGCAAGUCGAACGGUAACAGGAAGAAGCUUGCUUCUUUGCUGACGAGUGGCGGACGGGUGAGUAAUGUCUGGGAAACUGCCUGAUGGAGGGGGAUAACUACUGGAAACGGUAGCUAAUACCGCAUAACGUCGCAAGACCAAAGAGGGGGACCUUCGGGCCUCUUGCCAUCGGAUGUGCCCAGAUGGGAUUAGCUAGUAGGUGGGGUAACGGCUCACCUAGGCGACGAUCCCUAGCUGGUCUGAGAGGAUGACCAGCCACACUGGAACUGAGACACGGUCCAGACUCCUACGGGAGGCAGCAGUGGGGAAUAUUGCACAAUGGGCGCAAGCCUGAUGCAGCCAUGCCGCGUGUAUGAAGAAGGCCUUCGGGUUGUAAAGUACUUUCAGCGGGGAGGAAGGGAGUAAAGUUAAUACCUAUGCUCAUUGACGUUACCCGCAGAAGAAGCACCGGCUAACUCCGUG